rnacentral:lncRNA from 1 species
AGGAACAUGAGGAGCAUGGUCAAUGACAUGAAGGGACAUAGCCCAAUCUAUAGGGGAAUGGGAUGCAUUGGAAAUUAGAGCUGGGAGCGUUCAUAGAACCAUAGUCCACUGAAAAAUGGUGAAGCUAACAUGAAAUAGAAAGCAUAUGGCUGUUUGCUUGUACAUUUUUAACACCGAGACGACCAGCUUACCCUGGUGCACAGUGGUACAAACAUUCUCCCACGCAAUAAAGCAUUUGUCCAUAGAACAAGUAUCCUCGUUACACCAAAUAAAAGUUCUCUACGAUUUGUCGAGAGCUAGCUUGAUACUUCUCGGAGAGAUACAAAGCGUAGAAUGUUUGGGCAAACUAUCUAGAAUAGCCGAUAGAAAAUCAGUUGUUUUCUUUAGAGAGGAGAAGGGUGCACCAUCCAUAAACGGCAACUUGUAGGGUGAGAGGGGAGGCCACGUUAUCUCUUCUAUCUCCCUAAUUUUUACCUAUAUAUAUAUAUAUAUAUAUAUAUUAGUAAAAGCACCUAUUGUUUAUGUGGUACGUCAUUUAAAUUGCCUUCGAAGUUGGCUUAAAUUAUCCACUAUGCCACUCAUAAGUUAAAAAACAGUUCAGAUUUUUUUCCUGUCAAAGUCGUUGUACCCUAUCCUUCUUCAAGCUUGAAACCGUGAUUUGUCAUUACCAUGUGUGAGGUAGUGGCUGAUGAAACCGUGAUUUGUCAUUACCAUGUGUCAGUUCAGUUCUUCUAUGUUUUUUUUCUCUUUUGACAUAAACUUUGCACAAAUAUUAAUCAUGGAUUUAAGAAAUGUCAAACUUAUAGACAAAAAAGUUUCUAUAUAUACAAAUAAUGUACAGUGCGUAGGAUCAUAAAUAAUUUAUUUUUCUUUUAUUUUCAAAAUAUUGAUCUUGUAUUUAAAAAACUUUAAAUGUGCAUAGAAAAAUGUUUUCGAUGUAUAAGAAAAACAUACACAAAAAUAUACAAUGUGUA